GUGCUCGCUUUGGCAGCACAUGUACUCAAAUUGGAACAAUACAGAGAAGAUUAGCAUGGCCUCUGUGCAAGGAGGACACGCAAAUCUGUGCAGUGUUCUAUAUUUUU